ensembl:lncRNA
ACCCACUAGGUGAUGCAAACUCUUUUCCUUUAAUCGACCAAAUUUCACAUGAAACUGGUAAGGGUGGAUUUCCCCCCCUCUUCCUUUAUUACAGAGCAAACGGCCAUUUCCAACCCAAGCAAAAUCAUAUGGCAAAACAAAAACCAACCCCAAGACAAAACAACCACAUGUUCUCUGGGUCACUGAAGUUUUAACGCAUUUUCCGACGCAAUUUACCUAAAGGUAAAUAAUAUCAAGAAUGUUUGUCAUGCCAUCGUUCAAAGUGUUUCUUGUAUUCCUCAAAAUGAUAUUUAAAAAGGAGGGGGGGGGGAAAUAGCUGAAAAAAAUCAUUCUGGGUUUUCUUCUCUCUACUCUUAAACUAUUAUAGGAUGAAGAAUAGCAGGGAAUAUAAAAGAUACUGCAUGGAUGGAGAAACAACCUGAAUAAAGAAAUGGUCAGCCUCUGGGGAAAGUUUUAUUGGCUGGGAGAGACCCUGAAUGGUAGAGAGGUUUUCAAUAACACCGACUCAAUUUGCCUCUUACCAUGCCUGGUUUCCUUCAGUUCAGAACUCAUCUUCUGCAGAACAUCUCUGUGCCAGCCCUCCCAUACCCCACUGCGAGAGUUUCCCCAGGAGACAACCCACAUGGACUGCUUCUGUCUUGUAUGUGAACAGUUAUUUGUAUAUUAUCUCUCCCAUUAGAAUUGAAGCUCAUUGAACAGGGGUCUUCUUUUUCUUUUAUUGUUUUUCUUUUACUUAUUUAUUCAUUCAUUUAUUCAAUUGUUUAUUUAUUUACUAUUGAUUCUAUCUACUGCAACAUAUAGCCGGGUCUUUUAUUUAAAUGGGGCUUCCCAAAAGUCUUGAUGCAACACUAAGUAUUAAUUUCCAUUGAUCUAAAACCCUUCCCUGUAAUAAAGAAAUAUGGUUAAGAGAAAGUAUAUCAUUAGCCACAACAGACAAUAUGACAACAUAUGUCUCAUUCUGUACCUGUAGUCCCUCACCUUUCCCCCCAGAAGAGAGAAUCUUGGUUCAGUAAAUAUUUUGAAGUUAAUAUUGGUCACUGCACUAAUCAGAUUUUGGAGGAGUGGGAUACUUUCCUUCCAUGUUUUUUGAUCUACCUGGAAUUAACUUCAAGUAGAAAGAUCUCUUUCAUCCUCCAGCAAAAUCUAGUGUGAUGAUGGCCCCUUUAAAUUAACCGGCCCUGUUCAACUAGAACUUGCUGGCUGUCCCAGAAAGGGCAAGCAGUCCUUUUUAGUAACACAGGGAGGUUUUACAACAGUGAGUCACUAUUACCUGCAAAGCCAGACAUGUCUUUUUGCUUCUUGUGCCAAACCGGCAAGGUCCCAGUUGGUGAAGACGAGAAUUAGAGGGGUUAAAAAAAUGUCUAAUUUACAGAUCUAAUUAAACAUAAAAGCUUCCAAGGAAGAAAGUGCCCUUCUUUGAACGGCUCCAACUGGAUGGCUGAUCCAAUGGCCCACACAUACAUCAUGGAGCUCAUUUGUAAUGAUUUAUACAAAGCACCAAUUCGUCUCAGAUCGGAAAAGAGGCGUGAGGAAGACUGGCGUCAGUGCUGGUCCCGUGGGGUGUAUAGGCAGAACAGAUGACUUGGAGGAGAUGAUUGAAAUACCUGGAUUCUUCUGGGCUCCCUGGUUCAUAGCUCCGUAUGACGCAGUGGAAAUACCAGCUCAUCUCUAACUUCCCUAAGAUGAUAAUGAUCCAAACAGCACACUCUAGUUCCAGCCGGGGGUUACAUCUUAAGACAAUCCCUUCACCAACCCACCCUCUCCCUCCACCCCCAAAUAGUCCAAGCCAAGAAACCUGAUUCUUAUUUUCAUAAUGCUGCAGGCAUGCAUAGCUAAUAGCAGCUCCUCUUCAGCUUAGCCAAGAGCCCACCAUUUUAGCUCCAAAAUUCAAUGUUGCCCCAGUCCUUUCUUGGUGAACCUGUUUCCCCAAAAGACAAAAAUAAAUAUAUUUUUAAAAUCUAGGAAAGGAUGAGUGAAUGGACAGAGAGAAAAGCAGCAUAAUCAUUUUAAUGCCUUAAAGAACUUUUAUAUGCAUAAUAAUAAGGAAUGAUGAUAUUUCUAUACUGCUUUCAAAUUUACAAAGAACUGUUUGAUUCUCACACUAAGCCUUGAUGGAGCGGGCAUUAAGGGCUGGGCUGAUCACCAUCACAUUUGGAACUGAGGCUUUGGGAGAUUGGGGAAUUGACCUCUGGGUCACAUAGCUACUAAAUGUCACAUUUAGAAUUUGAGCCCAAAUUUGUGAUAGAAUGUAAUCUAUUUGAGGGGAAGGACAAUUUUAUUUUGUCUCCCCUUCCCCCCCCCCAAAAAAAAUAAAAAAAUCUCAGACACAUAAGCAAACUUUUUAAAAUUAUAUUAUACAUCUGUUCCUGUAGUCUCCUCUUCCUUCCUCAAGAACAUAAACUCCCUGAGGAUAGGAACUAUUCAUCUUUUAUCUUUAUAUCUCUAAUAUCUAUCAUUGUACUUGGUGAAAGAAUGAAUGAAAAAGCAUUUAUUAAGCAUUUACUACUUACUAUAUACUGUGCUAAAAACUGGAUAUACAAAUGGAAAAGCAAAAACACCAUGCUCAGAGUUUCCCUACAAAAACAAUAAAUUGAGGGGAAUGCAGUAGUUUAGAUGGUUUAGUUUGGUAAAUUUGGGGGAUAGGGAUUGGAGCCUUAGGAAAGCAAAAAUAGAAUUAAUUUGAUCAUAGUCUUUCUAGAAAGGGCUUAAUAAAUGUUUGUUCAUCCAUAGGCUCUUAAUAAAUGCUUACUGAUUGAUUGAAUCUUAACUCCAAAUCACUCUGUUCACCAAAUAUCCAUUUUCUUCCUGAGCUUGAGGUGGAUUGGCUUAUGAAUCAUAGCAGUGUCUCUCCAGUACUUUUAGGCAUAAUUAUGUUUCAAGAUCAAUUUUCUCGAUUUUAAUGGAACACAUCCCAAUGUGACUCUUGACUAAAAUGAUACAGAGACAAUGUCCCUGCAUUGGGAGAGUGGGACUGGAGGGAGACAAUAAAGUGAUAGCUUUAUAGUAAAAAUGAAACAAAGUUGAGCUCAAACCCUGAGUGAAUAAAUCUCACCAAUGAACACCUGUGAAGUAUUCCCCUAGACCUAGGGAAAAAGAAGACAUUUGGACUUUAGGUGAGGAAGAUGUCAUUUUCUGAAAUAAUGUUUUUCAGUCUGAUGGAGGACUUUUCUUAGAUUAAGUUGCUGUCCAGUGGACCAGAACUGCUUUUAAUUUGGU